CCUACGGGGGGCUGCAGUGGGGAAUAUUGCACAAUGGGGGAAACCCUGAUGCAGCAACGCCGCGUGAGCGAUGAAGGCCUUCGGGUCGUAAAGCUCUGUCCUAAGGGAAGAAUACUGACGAUACCUUAGGAGGAAGCCCCGACUAACUACGUUCCAGCAGCCGCGGUAAUACGUAGGGGGCUAGCGUUAUCCGGAAUUACUGUGCGUAAAGGGUGCGUAGGCGGCGCUUCAAGUCGGAGGUGAAAGGCUACGGCUCAACCGUAGUAAGACUUUGAAACUGUAGGGGUUGAGUGCAGGAGAGGAGAGUGGAAUGCCCAGUGUAGAGGUGAAGUGCGUCGAUAUUGGGAGGAACAACAGUUGCGAAGGCGGCUCUCUGGACUGUAACUGACGCUGAGGCACGAAAGCGUGGGGAGCGAACAGGAUUAGAUACCCCAGUAGUC
rnacentral:rRNA from 1 species